rnacentral:rRNA from 1 species
GCGGAGGGUGAGUAACGCGUAAAGAACUUGCCUCACAGCUAGGGACAACAUUUGGAAACGAAUGCUAAUACCUGAUAUUAUGAUUAUAUGGCAUCGUAUAAUUAUGAAAGCUAAAUGCACUGUGAGAGAGCUUUGCGUCCCAUUAGCUAGUUGGAGAGGUAACGGCUCACCAAGGCGAUGAUGGGUAGCCGGCCUGAGAGGGUGAACGGCCACAAGGGGACUGAGACACGGCCCUUACUCCUACGGGAGGCAGCAGUGGGGAAUAUUGGACAAUGGACCGAGAGUCUGAUCCAGCAAUUCUGUGUGCACGAUGAAGUUUUUCGGAAUGUAAAGUGCUUUCAGUUGGGAAGAAAAAAAUGACGGUACCAACAGAAGAAGUGACGGCUAAAUACGUGCCAGCAGCCGCGGUAAUACGUAUGUCACGAGCGUUAUCCGGAUUUAUUGGGCGUAAAGCGCGUCUAGGUGGUUAUGUAAGUCUGAUGUGAAAAUGCAGGGCUCAACUCUGUAUUGCGUUGGAAACUGUAUAACUAGAGUACUGGAGAGGUAAGCGGAACUACAAGUGUAGAGGUGAAAUUCGUAGAUAUUUGUAGGAAUGCCGAUGGGGAAGCCAGCUUACUGGACAGAUACUGACGCUGAAGCGCGAAAGCGUGGGUAGCAAACAGGAUUAGAUACCCUGGUAGUCCACGCCGUAAACGAUGAUUACUAGGUGUUGGGGGUCGAACCUCAGCGCCCAAGCAAACGCGAUAAGUAAUCCGCCUGGGGAGUACGUACGCCAGUAUGAAACUCCAAGGAAUUGAC